UGGGGAAUAUUGCACAAUGGGGGAAACCCUGAUGCAGCGACGCCGCGUGAACGAAGAAGGUAUUCGUAUCGUAAAGUUCUGUCCUAUGGGAAGAUAAUGACAGUACCAUAGAAGAAAGCUCCGGCUAAAUACGUGCCAGCAGCCGCGGUAAUACGUAUGGAGCGAGCGUUGUCCGGAAUUAUUGGUCGUAAAGCGUACGCAGGCGGUUUAAUAAGUCGAAUGUUAAAGAUCGGGGCUCAACCCCGCAAAGCAUUGGAAACUGAUAAACUUGAGUAGUGGAGAGGAAAGUGGAAUUCCUAGUGUAGUGGUGAAAUACGUAGAUAUUAGGAGGAAUACCAGUAGCGAAGGCGACUUUCUGGACACAAACUGACGCUGAGGUACGAAAGCGUGGGGAGCAAACAGG
rnacentral:rRNA from 1 species